GGCUUCUCCUUUUUCUGCUGGGAAUCUGGAAUAGUUCUCUGUUACCAUAAGUUUUCACAACUCAUGGGAUUUUAGCAAGUUGACAAGUUGUGGCAUUCUCUGUUGUAUGAUCUUGGCUAAAAGAGUCCCUGUAGACUCAUUACCGUGUUAAGUCAGCCCUGUGAACCCAUGUAAUUAGUUGCAUAUUAUCGUUGACCAUCCUGAUGGUCAUUGGUGGUGAGCAGUUUUGCAGGCUGUGGCGUAUGGGGGCCAAGUUGUAAUAUUAGUGUACAUGUGUAAUUUUUGUACCAUUUUUGUAGAGAAAUAUAGUCAAUUAUCCAGUAG
rnacentral:misc_RNA from 1 species